UGCCUUUAUGUGUUGCCAGUUCACUGCGUUCAUAGUGAACUGGGUGUCAACUAAGGCAAACAGUAACUUGCUUUUGUCUUUGAAAGGAAUUUUACAUGCCAGAACAAUGGCAGGUACAUGCUGUUUCCAAACAGAAAACAUGA
ensembl:snoRNA small nucleolar RNA SNORA13